rnacentral:lncRNA from 1 species
GAAGACAGGAGGGCGGAGCUAAAGGAGAGGGUAUUUUAACGACAUUAACUGUGUUUUUGUGUUAGUAACUCGGAAAGAGAGAGGCUGCCCCAAGUCAGCGCAUUGAAAGCCGCAGACCUAGUGUCUCCAGGCUCCCCCUUCCAAACGGGCGCGGACCUUCUUUCAUAGCCUGUAGCGGGGAGCCGCGUCUCCCCACUGCCUCCCCACUCCCAUCCGGCCGCUCUUUGGAGGGAACUCACACAUCCCAACAUGACGAUGCUUGCUCGGGGGGCCUCCUGGGGGGACCAGGGAGCCACUUCCUUUCCCACAUACUCCGGAAAUUAAAGUUGGUCUCCUUAAGGCUGGAGUGGCAAAUAGUUGUUUUAAGCUUGUCACAAAUGUAACUUACAUUUGGACUAAUGUUUUAAAAAAUAAUUGGAGUUUUGAAUCUACGAAGAUACCUUGGAAGUAAACAUAGUUAUUAUUUUGGUGGGAAAAAAAUGAAUGGACUUGAAAGUGAGUCACCUGUCCUGUUCCCGGGGCUCAGCUCUAGCAAAGUACCUUUCUCCAUCUACAGUCUCCGGCACACAGCUCCGCAGCUGGGGGUGACUAAGAGCCCACACCACGCAAGUAAUAAAACGCUCCAAUUUCAUUUAUUUAAUCAUCUGUGUGCUUCAUUUGACAAAUAUUUAUGGAGUGUCUGCUGCUAGCUCAGUGCCUGGUGCCUGGGACUGAAGACCAGAGCCCCCUGGAGACCAAAAGAGCCAGCUCCCAGCUGUGAGCAGAUCGGGUCCAAAGAUCACGGGCUCGGCGGCAGGAACCUGGUUUGGUAUCCGGCUCCUCUGCGGACUUUGAAGUGCUUUACCGAUUCACAUGACAACUGGUAAAACGAAAACAAACACCUUUCCAGGAAUUGUGAAUUCGAGUUCCAGACCCUCUGGGAUUCCGGGAGCGCAGCUGCUAUUUAUGUUAACAGUCAUUGGUCCCAGGCUGGUGAGGUUAGAAUUUCCAAGUAUAAAAGUAAUUUAGUUUCGUUUUAAAUACAUUUUAGGGCCAAAGAAAAGUGGAACGAUUUAAAGAAAAAGAUGAAAUGAAUAAUAGGGCAAGUUGGGAGGUGGCUGUCCUGAGGUUUCAUGGGACAACAUUAAUUAACCUCAUGAAGUGCCUGCAUGGACAACGUGCCCGGUGUGGUUACAAACAAACCAAUCAGCACAGAUCCUGGGUGGAAAGCAGGGCGCAGCCACGGAGGCACAGUAGGGGUGCAGACUUGAAGGUUUUUAGGAGGUAAGCCCCGAGGGCACGAAGCUCCACGGAGAGACUGUUGACCCGCCUGGGAGUGCAGUGCAGUCACAGCAACCUCCAAAAACCCAACUUUGCAAAGAUAUGGCAUCGUCAGAAGAAAUGGGGUGCAAUCUAAUGUUGACAGUGUGGAUGAGAGUGGGACACCUGCCAGUUGUUUGCAUCAGCAGACACUCAGAGUCCAUGGAAAAAAUGAGCCUAGAGGUUUUUAAACCACAACACAAGCAAAAGGCACCUGGUCCCGUUCCUCUUAAGACAGAAGAAAGAGGCGUAAAACCAGCUCCAGGUGCCACCCUUAAGAAAUGUUACAGUGCCGGAUGGGAAGAGUAAACCCUGAACAUCUCUUCUUAAUACUUUACAGACUUCAAGUGUAUUUUAUGGUGACAAAGCAUAUUGAAGACAAAUGAAACUCUACAACCCUGAAAA